UACGUAGGGUGCGAGCGUUAAUCGGAAUUACUGGGCGUAAAGCGUGCGCAGGCGGUUUUGUAAGCCAGAUGUGAAAUCCCCGGGCUUAACCUGGGAAUGGCAUUUGGGACUGCAAGGCUGGAGUUUGGCAGAGGAGACUGGAAUUCCUGGUGUAGCAGUGAAAUGCGCAGAUAUCGGGAGGAACACCAAUGGCGAAGGCAGCUCGCUGGGACGUUACUGACGCUGAGACGCGAAAGCGUGGGGAGCAAACAGG
rnacentral:rRNA from 1 species